rnacentral:rRNA from 1 species
UACGUAGGGGGGCGAGCGUUGUCCGGAAUCAUUGGGCGUAAAGCGCGUGUAGGCGGCCCGGUAAGUCCGCUGUGAAAGUCCAGGGCUCAACCCUGGGGAUGCCGGUGGAUACUGUCGGGCUCGAGUCCGGAAGAGGCGAGUGGAAUCCUGGUGUAGCGGUGAAAUGCGCAGAUAUCAGGAGGAACACCAAUGGCGAAGGCAGCUCGCUGGGGACGUGACUGACGCUGAGACGCGAAAAGCGUGGGGGAGCAAACAG